rnacentral:rRNA from 1 species
UACGUAGGGGGCAAGCGUUGUCCGGAUUAUUGGGCGUAAAGAGCGUGUAGGCGGCCAGGUAGGUCCGUUGUGAAAACUCGAGGCUCAACCUCGAGACGCCGGUGGAAACCAUCAGGCUAGAGUCCGGAAGAGGAGAGUGGAAUUCCUGGUGUAGCGGUGAAAUGCGCAGAUAUCAGGAAGAACACCCGUGGCUAAGGCGGCUCUCUAGUACGGUACUGACGCUGAGACGCGAAAGCGUGGGGAGCGAACAGG